UGGCAUCCUAAGCUACCUUAAGAUGCCACAACAGUAGCGCAAGGCUCUUAAUCGAGCCCUUUCCCUAGGCCCAAAACAAUUGGAUAGUUUUGGGCCUUUUUUU
rnacentral:sRNA from 1 species